AUUGCUUCUCAGUCUAUUGGCUAAAAUCAAGUAUAUAUUACUCUCGAAUUUAGUAACCAAAUGAGGAUCAUGUGUCUUCAAGUUAUUAAUUCAUUUUUUAUAACUAGAAGGUAUGUGUGAAGCUUGCUUCCCUCACUCACGAGUUUCCCUGGCAUUGCAGUACGUUCAGGUAUGGCCCACUUCCC